rnacentral:rRNA from 1 species
GACGAGGAGCUUGCUCCUCUGAUCAGUGGCGAACGGGUGAGUAACACGUGAGCAACCUGCCCCAGACUCUGGGAUAACAGUUGGAAACAGCUGCUAAUACCGGAUACGAGACGGAGAGGCAUCUCUACCGUCUGGAAAGUUUUUCGGUCUGGGAUGGACUCGCGGCCUAUCAGCUAGUUGGUGAGGUAAUGGCUCACCAAGGCGACAACGGGUAGCCGGCCUGAGAGGGCGACCGGCCACACUGGGACUGAGACACGGCCCAGACUCCUACGGGAGGCAGCAGUGGGGAAUAUUGCACAAUGGGCGAAAGCCUGAUGCAGCGACGCCCCGUGAGGGAUGACGGCCUUCGGGUUGUAAACCUCUUUCAGCAGGGAAGAAGCGAAAGUGACGGUACCUGCAGAAAGAAAGCACCGGCUAACUACGUGCCAGCAGCCGCGGUAAUACGUAAGGGUGCGAGCGUUGUCCGGGAAUUAAUUGGGCGUAAAGAGCUUGUAAGCGGUUUGUCGCGUCUGCAGUGAAAAUCCCGAGGCUCAACCUCCGUCCUGCUGGGGGGUACCGGGCAGACUAAAAUAUGGGAGGGGAGACCCGAAUUCCUGGUGUUAGCGGUGGGAUGCGGCAGAUAUUCAGAAGAACACCGAUUGCGAAAGCAGGUCUCUGGGG